UCCGAUAUGGUGUAACGGCUAACAUUACCGCCUUUCAUCUGUUUGAAAUUGUCUGGUGUGAGCGCGGUAGCUCGGGGUUCGAUUCCCCGUAUCGGAG